rnacentral:rRNA from 1 species
UAAUACAGAGGUGGCAAGCGUUGUUCGGAAUUACUGGGCGUAAAGGGCGCGUAGGCGGUUCGUUAAGUCCUGUGUGAAAUCCCCCGGCUCAACUGGGGAACUGCACAGGAAACUAGCGGGCUUGAGUUCGGGAGAGGGAAGCGGAAUUCCGGGUGUAGCGGUGAAAUGCGUAGAUAUCCGGAGGAACACCGGUGGCGAAGGCGGCUUCCUGGACCGACACUGACGCUGAGGCGCGAAAGCUAGGGGAGCAAACG